UACAGAGGGUGCGAGCGUUAAUCGGAGUUACUGGGCGUAAAGGGCGCGUAGGUGGAAAAUUAAGUUGGAUGUAAAAUUCCUGGGCUUAACCUGGGGAGGUCAUUCAAUACUGGUUAUCUAGAGUGCUGUAGAGGGUAGUGGAAUUUCCGGUGUAGCGGUGAAAUGCGUAGAGAUCGGAAGGAACAUCAGUGGCGAAGGCGGCUACCUGGACAGACACUGACACUGAGGCGCGGGAGCGUGGGGAGCGAACAGG
rnacentral:rRNA from 1 species